rnacentral:rRNA from 1 species
UACGUAGGGGGCUAGCGUUGUCCGGAAUCAUUGGGCGUAAAGCGCGUGUAGGCGGCCCGGUAAGUCCGCUGUGAAAGUCCAGGGCUCAACCCUGGGAUGCCGGUGGAUACUGUCGGGCUCGAGUCCGGAAGAGGCGAGUGGAAUUCCUGGUGUAGCGGUGAAAUGCGCAGAUAUCAGGAGGAACACCAAUGGCGAAGGCAGCUCGCUGGGACGUGACUGACGCUGAGACGCGAAAGCGUGGGAGCAAACAGG